AGGUUGGCGCAAUACUUUCAGCAUGUGAACACCACAUGGGAAAGAAGCUGGCAUUGAACUUAGGUUUCCAGAGCAUCUAUUAUGGUCUGCACCCUCCUGGGAAACGGGUAUAUGUUAUCUAUGGUAAUUGACACAAGGAUACUACGAAACAGGCAGGCAGUUUUGCAAACAAGGCUCUGAACUUGAAGCUCAGAGGGUGAGCGAGGCCUCGUGCCCCCAGGGCCUCUGCUUGCUCCAUGUUGGUGCCCCAACGUCCAGGGAUGCAAAGCACAGAGGACCCUUAGAGGCCACACCUGGAAGUGCUCAUUCAAUGGACCGAGGGAUGAAAGUGAGGAGAGCGUUAGGGGAGCUGUGCACACAGGGCUUGGAAGCAAUGGAAUCCCAGAAGUAUGGAACACACACAUCACCCAGAUUCUGACUUCUAAUACCAGUCUCUAAAGAAAGGAACAAGACAUCCUGGCAGAUACUGUGGAUUCUAGGGCUGGGCAGGGCAUAUAGAAGAAGAGCCUGGCAUGUCUCAUAGUGCCAGAAUUGGACAUUUUCCCUACUAUGAAGCACAAGCAAGCAAAAUUGUGUUUUCAACAGGCAAUGUCUGUGCAUUGCCUCUUGUUGAGGGCACCCCAAAGUACGUUGAACCAGCAGAGGGAAGAUGUCAGGGAAAGGCCGUGUCCUGGUGGAGGAUGAGGUGGGUGACCCCAGAUGUCAGAGGACAGGAGGCAGAGCAGAUCCACCAAACCUGCUGAGAGGGACCACCCAUUCUGCCCUGCUGUCUCCUGCAGCCAGGGCCAGAUGGCAGAGGCUGUGCUUUCUUCCUCUGGAACAGAGCUGGGACCAGCGAGGUGAAGGGUCUCACUGAGGUCAUUCAACUACAAAAUGCCAGAGCAGGAGUGGAGGCCAAGUCCCCAGGCUCCAAUUCAUGACCUCAAGGUGAAAAGAUCUCCCGAGACAGAUAACAGUUCUCAUUUAAGCAAGAAUUAAAAAUAAAACCUCU
rnacentral:lncRNA from 1 species